rnacentral:rRNA from 1 species
UUUUAUUUUAAGAUUAUUUUUUAUUGUUGAAAAAAUUAAAAAUAAAUUGUUAAAAACAAAAAUUAAAAUUUAUAAUAUUUCUGUUUUUUAUUUUUAGUUAAAAAUAAAAAUAAUAAAUAUGAAAAAUAGAAAAAUUUUGUUAUAAAUUAAAUUGGUUUUUUAAAAUUAAAAAUAUUUUUUAUAAAUUUAUUUUUUUUUAUUUUUUUAGAAAAAAAAAAAUUUAAUUAUUAUUAUUGAAAUUAAUUUAAUUAUUUAGUAAAAAAUUUUAUAUUAAAUAAAUUAAAUAAUAAAUGUUUUUUAAAUUCUUUGGGGAUUUAUUUUUUGAUUUUUUAUUUCUGCUCAUUGUUAAAGAAAAGCACUUUUAGCGUGAUUGGUCAAAGGUA